rnacentral:misc_RNA from 1 species
AAAAGUCGUAACAAGGUUUCCGUAGGUGAACCUGCGGAAGGAUCAUUAUUGAAUUGUUUGUUUGAAUUGGUGUGUAAAGCCCAAUUCGACAUCCAUUACAAACACCUGUGAACUGUUGGUUGACCUUUGCCCUUAGGGACACUGGGAUACCAUUUUACACCAAACAAUCUGUAACAAAUGUAGUCUUAUUAUAACAUAAUAAAACUUUCAACAACGGAUCUCUUGGUUCUC